rnacentral:rRNA from 2 species
GUAAUGUCUGGGAAACUGCCUGAUGGAGGGGGAUAACUACUGGAAACGGUGGCUAAUACCGCAUAACGUCGCAAGACCAAAGAGGGGGACCUUCGGGCCUCUUGCCAUCAGAUGUGCCCAGAUGGGAUUAGCUAGUUGGUGAGGUAACGGCUCACCAAGGCGACGAUCCCUAGCUGGUCUGAGAGGAUGACCAGCCACACUGGAACUGAGACACGGUCCAGACUCCUACGGGAGGCAGCAGUGGGGAAUAUUGCACAAUGGGCGCAAGCCUGAUGCAGCCAUGCCGCGUGUAUGAAGAAGGCCUUCGGGUUGUAAAGUACUUUCAGCGGGGAGGAAGGUGUUGUGGUUAAUAACCGCAGCAAUUGACGUUACCCGCAGAAGAAGCACCGGCUAACUCCGUGCCAGCAGCCGCGGUAAUACGGAGGGUGCAAGCGUUAAUCGGAAUUACUGGGCGUAAAGCGCACGCAGGCGGUCUGUCAAGUCGGAUGUGAAAUCCCCGGGCUCAACCUGGGAACUGCAUUCGAAACUGGCAGGCUUGAGUCUUGUAGAGGGGGGUAGAAUUCCAGGUGUAGCGGUGAAAUGCGUAGAGAUCUGGAGGAAUACCGGUGGCGAAGGCGGCCCCCUGGACAAAGACUGACGCUCAGGUGCGAAAGCGUGGGGAGCAAACAGGAUUAGAUACCCUGGUAGUCCACGCCGUAAACGAUGUCUACUUGGAGGUUGUGCCCUUGAGGCGUGGCUUCCGGAGCUAACGCGUUAAGUAGACCGCCUGGGGAGUACGGCCGCAAGGUUAAAACUCAAAUGAAUUGACGGGGGCCCGCACAAGCGGUGGAGCAUGUGGUUUAAUUCGAUGCAACGCGAAGAACCUUACCUGGUCUUGACAUCCACGGAAGUUUUCAGAGAUGAGAAUGUGCCUUCGGGAACCGUGAGACAGGUGCUGCAUGGCUGUCGUCAGCUCGUGUUGUGAAAUGUUGGGUUAAGUCCCGCAACGAGCGCAACCCUUAUCCUUUGUUGCCAGCG